rnacentral:rRNA from 1 species
UACGAAGGUGGCAAGCGUUUGUUCGGAUUUACUGGGCGUACAGGGAGCGUAGGCGGUUGGAUAAGCCCUCCGUGAAAUCUCCAGGCUUAACCUGGAAAGUGCAGAGGGGACUGUUCAGCUAGAGGAUGGGAGAGGAGCGCGGAAUUCCCGGUGUAGCGGUGAAAUGCGUAGAGAUCGGGAGGAAGGCCGGUGGCGAAGGCGGCGCUCUGGGAACAUUUCUGACGCUGAGGCUCGAAAGCGUGGGGAGCAAACAGG